AUACGUAGGUGGCGAGCGUUGUCCGGAAUUAUUGGGCGUAAAGAGCAUGUAGGCGGCUUAAUAAGUCGAGCGUGAAAAUGCGGGGCUCAACCCCGUAUGGCGCUGGAAACUGUUAGGCUUGAGUGCAGGAGAGGAAAGGGGAAUUCCCAGUGUAGCGGUGAAAUGCGUAGAUAUUGGGAGGAACACCAGUGGCGAAGGCGCCGUUCUGGACUGUGUCUGACGCUGAGAUGCGAAAGCCAGGGUAGCGAACGGGAUUAGAUACCCCGGUAGUCCUGGCCGUAAACGAUGGGUACUAGGUGUAGGAGGUAUCGACCCCUUCUGUGCCGGAGUUAACGCAAUAAGUACCCCGCCUGGGGAGUACGGCCGCAAGGUUGAAACUCAAAUGAAUUGGCGGGG
rnacentral:rRNA from 1 species